rnacentral:lncRNA from 1 species
UGAAGAAAAGUUCUGGAAUUGGAUAGUAGUGAUGACUGUACUACAAGGUGAAGGUGCUUAAUAUCCCUGACUGUACACUUAAAAAUUGUUAAAAUGGAAGCCCAUGCUGACCCACUGGAUGAAACUGGAUGUCUGUGCUCUAUGCUUUCACACGAGCAUGCUUCACCACCUCAGCUAUAGUACUGACCACAUGGUGUUGCAGGGGUUCUCAACUUCUGCACAACUGGCAAUAUCAGGAGAAGAAAAAGAGCAUGGACGCUCAUUCAUGGGGCAUUUACAUGACUCAGGUCAAGCAAUGGCGUGUGUCACUCCUGCUCAUAGUCUGUCCUGUGAGCACACCUGGACGGUGCAGGAGGCUGGAGCAGGACAUCCAAGUCUGUGUCCAGAAUGAAGAGACCACUGACUUGGUGAGAAGCCAGCCAGUCUAUGCUAAAGGGAAACUGAGGCCAUAAAAAAACAGUAAAUGUACAAAAUAGUUUGAGUUUAAUGAUGACUUCCAUGAAGAAAAUAAACAAUGUCUGUG